rnacentral:sRNA from 1 species
UGUGAACCUAGCGCGGGCUUACGCCAAGU